rnacentral:rRNA from 1 species
GAGUUUGAUCAUGGCUCAGAUUGAACGCUGGCGGAAUGCUUUACACAUGCAAGUCGAGCGGCAGCGCGGGGCAACCUGGCGGCGAGCGGCGAACGGGUGAGUAAUGCAUCGGAACGUGUCCAUGUCGUGGGGGAUAGCCCGGCGAAAGCCGGAUUAAUACCGCAUACGCCCGAGAGGGGAAAGUGGGGGACCGCAAGGCCUCACGCGAUUGGUUCGGCCGAUGUCCGAUUAGCUAGUUGGCGGGGUAAAGGCCCACCAAGGCGAUGAUCGGUAGCUGGUCUGAGAGGAUGAUCAGCCACACUGGGACUGAGACACGGCCCAGACUCCUACGGGAGGCAGCAGUGGGGAAUUUUGGACAAUGGGGGCAACCCUGAUCCAGCCAUUCCGCGUGAGUGAAGAAGGCCUUCGGUUGUAA